UACGGAGGGUGCAAGCGUUGUCCGGAUUUAUUGGGUUUAAAGGGUGCGUAGGUGGCUUGUUAAGUCCGGGGUGAAAUCCCACAGCUCAACUGUGGAACUGCCCUGGAUACUGGCAGGCUUGAGUCCAGACGAGGUUGGCGGAAUGGAAGGUGUAGCGGUGAAAAGCAUAGAUAUCUUGCAGAACCCCGAUUGCGUAGGCAGCUGACUAGGUUGGUACUGACACUGAGGCACGAAAGCGUGGGGAGCGAACAGG
rnacentral:rRNA from 1 species